AUUGAACGCUGGCGGCAUGCCUUACACAAGCAAGUCGAACGGCAGCAUGAUCUAGCUUGCUCGAUUGAUGGCGAGUGGCGAACGGGUGAGUAAUACAUCGGAACGUGCCCUGUAGUGGGGGAUAACUAGUCGAAAGAUUAGCUAAUACCGCAUACGACCUGAGGGUGAAAGUGGGGGACCGCAAGGCCUCAUGCUAUAGGAGCGGCCGAUGUCUGAUUAGCUAGUUGGUGAGGUAAAGGCUCACCAAGGCGACGAUCAGUAGCUGGUCUGAGAGGACGAUCAGCCACACUGGGACUGAGACACGGCCCAGACUCCUACGGGAGGCAGCAGUGGGGAAUUUUGGACAAUGGGCGAAAGCCUGAUCCAGCAAUGCCGCGUGUGUGAAGAAGGCCUUCGGGUUGUAAAGCACUUUUGUCCGGAAAGAAAUGGCUCUGGUUAAUACCUGGGGUCGAUGACGGUACCGGAAGAAUAAGGACCGGCUAACUACGUG
rnacentral:rRNA from 1 species